rnacentral:rRNA from 1 species
AGAGUUUGAUCCUGGCUCAGGAUGAACGUUGGCGGUGUGCCUAAUACAUGCAAGUCGAACGGAGACUGUAGCAAUACUGUCUUAGUGGCGAACGGGUGAGUAACGCGUGGGUGACCUGCCCCGAAGUGUGGGAUAACAGUCCGAAAGGAUUGCUAAUACUGCAUAAUAUCCAAGAGAUUAGACGCUUUUGGAUUAAAGGAGUAAUUCGCUUCGGGAGGGGCCCGCGUCCCAUCAGCUAGUUGGUAAGGUAAUGGCUUACCAAGGCGAUGACGGGUAGGGGACCUGAGAGGGUGGCCCCCCACAAUGGAACUGAAACACGGUCCAUACACCUACGGGUGGCAGCAGUAGGGAAUAUUAGUAAUGGGCGAAAGCCUGAACUAGCAACGCCGCGUGUGCGAAGAAGGCCUUCGGGUCGUAAAGCACUUUUUGAGAGGAUGAGGAAGGACGGUACUCUCAGAAUAAGUCUCGGCUAACUACGUGCCAGCAGCCGCGGUAACACGUAGGAGGCAAACGUUAUCCGGAUUUACUGGGCGUAAAGCGCGUGUAGGUGGUUUGGUAAGUAGGGCGUGAAAGCUCCCGGCUCAACUGGGAGAGGCCGUUCUAAACUGCCAAGCUAGAGGAUGGUAGAGGGAGGUGGAAUUCCGGGUGUAGCGGUGGAAUGCGCAGAUAUCCGGAGGAACACCAGUGGCGAAGGCGGCCUCCUGGACCACUCCUGACACUCAGACGCGAAAGCUAGGGUAGCAAACGGGAUUAGAGACCCCGGUAGUCCUAGCCCUAAACGAUGUAGACUUGGCGUCGGUGGUUUAAUCGCCAUCGGUGUCGCAGCUAACGCGAUAAGUCGACCGCCUGGGGAGUACGGCCGCAAGGUUAAAACUCAAAGGAAUUGACGGGGGCCCG